rnacentral:rRNA from 1 species
UGGGGAAUAUUGCACAAUGGGCGCAAGCCUGAUGCAGCAACGCCGCGUGAGGGACGACGGCCUUCGGGUUGUAAACCUCUUUUAGCAGGGAAGAAGCGAAAGUGACGGUACCUGCAGAAAAAGCACCGGCUAACUACGUGCCAGCAGCCGCGGUAAUACGUAGGGUGCAAGCGUUAUCCGGAAUUAUUGGGCGUAAAGAGCUCGUAGGCGGUUUGUCGCGUCUGCUGUGAAAAUCCGGGGCUCAACCCCGGACUUGCAGUGGGUACGGGCAGACUAGAGUGUGGUAGGGGAGACUGGAAUUCCUGGUGUAGCGGUGGAAUGCGCAGAUAUCAGGAGGAACACCGAUGGCGAAGGCAGGUCUCUGGGCCAUUACUGACACUGAGAAGCGAAAGCAUGGGGAGCGAA